UGUUCACUUUUUAGUUGGAUUUUGAUCGAUCUUUGAUUUCCCUCCAAAUCUACUAGGCGGGCCAGACCACCUUCCGUAGAUAUGGCAUUUCUUACUGAUCCGUGCUCAACCUCUCCGGCACGGACACGGACACGCGUGGCAGUGAGGGACGUGCGUGACAUUUUUCGGAUAUUUAAUCUCAAACUUACCGUUACUCGGUGUCGAGUGGAGGCAUCUGUGGCGGAGCAAGCUCCCUGUUCCAGUCUUUCCUGAGUAGGAAAGCAAAUCGCCGCAAGUUUUGCAGCAAGCAUACGGCUCUAUGCGGUCGUCGCAGGAGACCAGAUUGAAAAACCUCCAAACACAGCUCUUCGUGUUCCUGGGCUCCACCAAUUUGCAGCGGCUAUCACCGGAUUUAAGGAGACUUCGUAGCUCCGAUUUCUUCUCGACAUGCAUGGCGGAGGAAGCUGAUCGGGCCCGGAAUUAGGUUGCCAAAAGAAAAACCAAAACAAAUUAUAAAAUCCACACAAAUACAAGCAAAGCACGCAUGUCACGACGUUCAGUCACGCACAAAAUAGUGUUGAAAAGUCUGCAACAAAAAAAUAAACAAUGGAUGAAACCCUAAAAUGAAUGUCCUAGAAAAAAACGUAUUUGCUGUUAACUCGAUAACCGAUAACUACAGAACCAUUAUCGGUUUAAAAAAAAGUCGCAGUAACUUUUGCCACAAUUAAUUAAAAUUUACUGACAUCCUAGUUCUGUCUUCAGUCAGAGAUUGUUUCUUUCGAAUAGAAAAAAGGUGUAUUGGAACAACUAGUUUAACAAGGAAUGGAUCAAAUAUCUGCCCUCAGAUUGGAUAGAUUGGAGAAGAAGAUUACCUGAAAUCAAACCACUGAGAUGACCAAUUUCUUAUAAAGUGGCAUAAUUCGUUGGACUAAUUUGGAAGUUAUUUUCUAAGCUGGAACUUUGUAAAGCAUUGAUAUUGCAAAGCUUUUUCUCGUUAAUAAUAAGAAUUUUGCGUUGCCUCGCAGUACCUUUGACAAAAAACUAAUUGAUUAAAAAUUGUUAAUACAA
rnacentral:sRNA from 1 species